AACUACGAUUGGAUAAAACUUGCUGCUUAUUGGAUUGGAUGAUAAGUGACUAAAGUCCGUAAAAUAUAUGUGCGUUAAUUAUUGACCAAGCAUGAGGUCAAGAUGGCUGGAUAUUGCAUGGCCACGUUCUUUCUUUUCGUUUUUAUGGACACAAAAAGGAACAAGGGGUCCAUGUGGAUAAUCCCGAGUGGGCAAGAUCGGCCCAUCUUCCUGCUCGGAUAGCCAAUCUAUAAAAUAUUUGAUAAGGAACAAGGAAAUAUUAUCAGUGACAACAUAGCUCAUCUGCUUUCUGUUAUUUUAAUUCAUGAAAGAAAUUUGAAAAAAAAAAAAAAAAACUUAACGUAACUAUGAAAUAGCAAGAGCGUGCCUUCCAAUUUCUUUGCAACCAAAUACACUAGCACUGUUGAAUAUCUAAUCCCUUUAUUCGCAUAUUUUGUGUUUAUUGUAUAUUCGUUUUUUCCCUUGACUUUAAUUUUGCUUCUGAUUAUUAUCAUAUGAUUUUUCUUGCUCUCCUCUUUGUUUUUCUUUUUUUAUUUAUUUUUGUUUCUUCGUCAGAGAUGUUCGUCAACCUCUGUCACAAGUACGUUUAAGUCUUUCUGCGUCCCUCGGAGCUGGACAGAUUAUUUUUCUCGUCGGGAUAAACACCACAGAAUACAUGGCUGCCUGUAUCACAGCAGCAGCUCUUAUGCAGUAUUUCCUGAUGGCCGCUUUCUGCUGGAUGCUGGUCGAGGGAAUUUAUCUCUACCUGUUUGUUGUAAAGGUGUACAAUAUCAACACCAAGAUGCACAUGUAUCACGUCAUGUCAUGGGGCCUUCCUAUCGUCAUGGUGGGCAUGUCAUUGGGCAUCGCAACUGGAAAAGAUGGACUCCAAAGCUACACCAGUGAGAAAUGAUUAGAAAAUGAUUGGCUUCUGCAAGGGAAUGCAGAUGCCUUAAAAGAGGUACUGUUUCAUUGGGAGGAAAUUUUCUUUGAUUGCUCUUCUUGCUUUCUUUUUUUCAAGCUGCUGGUUGUCUUCGACUAA